rnacentral:snoRNA from 1 species
AUUCUAUGAUGAAUACUACUUCAGUUCUGCUUCUGAACAAGUCUGAAGACAACACAGUUUACCAAAGCUCAAGUUUCUGACGA